AGCGAGGCUUAGAGUCACGUCUGGAUACGACCCAUUGUCCUGGUGUGCUAGAGCACUCGCAGAGGAAAUAAUCUUUGCUUAUUCAUUGGCUGUAGUCUGCUGUGGCCCAGCCAAUCACCAACUCAGAAACAUUG
rnacentral:snoRNA from 1 species